rnacentral:rRNA from 1 species
GUGCCAGCCGCCGCGGUAAUACGAAGGGGGCUAGCGUUGUUCGGAAUUACUGGGCGUAAAGCGCACGUAGGCGGAUUGGCAAGUCAGGGGUGAAAUCCCGGGGCUCAACCUCGGAACUGCCUUUGAUACUGCCAGUCUAGAGUCCGGAAGAGGUGGGUGGAAUUCCUAGUGUAGAGGUGAAAUUCGCAGAUAUUAGGAAGAACACCGGUGGCGAAGGCGGCCCACUGGUCCGGAACUGACGCUGAGGUGCGAAAGCGUGGGGAGCAAACAGGAUUAGAAACCCUAGUAGUCC